ACACAUGCAAGUCGAGCGGUAGCACAGAGAGCUUGCUCUCGGGUGACGAGCGGCGGACGGGUGAGUAAUGUCUGGGAAACUGCCUGAUGGAGGGGGAUAACUACUGGAAACGGUAGCUAAUACCGCAUAACGUCGCAAGACCAAAGUGGGGGACCUUCGGGCCUCAUGCCAUCAGAUGUGCCCAGAUGGGAUUAGCUAGUAGGUGGGGUAAUGGCUCACCUAGGCGACGAUCCCUAGCUGGUCUGAGAGGAUGACCAGCCACACUGGAACUGAGACACGGUCCAGACUCCUACGGGAGGCAGCAGUGGGGAAUAUUGCACAAUGGGCGCAAGCCUGAUGCAGCCAUGCCGCGUGUAUGAAGAAGGCCUUCGGGUUGUAAAGUACUUUCAGCGAGGAGGAAGGCGUUAAGGUUAAUAACCUUAGCGAUUGACGUUACUCGCAGAAGAAGCACCGGCUAACUCCGUGCCAGCAGCCGCGGUAAUACGGAGGGUGCAAGCGUUAAUCGGAAUUACUGGGCGUAAAGCGCACGCAGGCGGUCUGUCAAGUCGGAUGUGAAAUCCCCGGGCUCAACCUGGGAACUGCAUUCGAAACUGGCAGGCUAGAGUCUUGUAGAGGGGGGUAGAAUUCCAGGUGUAGCGGUGAAAUGCGUAGAGAUCUGGAGGAAUACCGGUGGCGAAGGCGGCCCCCUGGACAAAGACUGACGCUCAGGUGCGAAAGCGUGGGGAGCAAACAGGAUUAGAUACCCUGGUAGUCCACGCCGUAAACGAUGUCGACUUGGAGGUUGUGCCCUUGAGGCGUGGCUUCCGGAGCUAACGCGUUAAGUCGACCGCCUGGGGAGUACGGCCGCAAGGUUAAAACUCAAAUGAAUUGACGGGGGCCCGCACAAGCGGUGGAGCAUGUGGUUUAAUUCGAUGCAACGCGAAGAACCUUACCUACUCUUGACAUCCAGAGAACUUAGCAGAGAUGCUUUGGUGCCUUCGGGAACUCUGAGACAGGUGCUGCAUGGCUGUCGUCAGCUCGUGUUGUGAAAUGUUGGGUUAAGUCCCGCAACGAGCGCAACCCUUAUCCUUUGUUGCCAGCGGUCCGGCCGGGAACUCAAAGGAGACUGCCAGUGAUAAACUGGAGGAAGGUGGGGAUGACGUCAAGUCAUCAUGGCCCUUACGAGUAGGGCUACACACGUGCUACAAUGGCAUAUACAAAGAGAAGCGACCUCGCGAGAGCAAGCGGACCUCAUAAAGUAUGUCGUAGUCCGGAUUGGAGUCUGCAACUCGACUCCAUGAAGUCGGAAUCGCUAGUAAUCGUAGAUCAGAAUGCUACGGUGAAUACGUUCCCGGGCCUUGUACACACCGCCCGUCACACCAUGGGAGUGGGUUGCAAAAGAAGUAGGUAGCUUAACCUUCGGGAGGGCGCUUACCACU
rnacentral:rRNA from 1 species